rnacentral:lncRNA from 1 species
AUAUAAUAGUAGGACUACAGUGCUCUUAGGAGCACGAAAUUAUCAAUGAUGGAAUUUUCGUAUCGACGAUCGGUUUCGUUAGACAUGAUCUAGCGUAUUUGAAGUUUCUAGAAAAUAAUUUUUGUUAUUUUUUGAUAUCAUUUACUUGAAAGGGUUCAAAAUCAAUAAUUUUUAAUAGUUGAUAUCUAUCAUUUUUAAGUUUAACGGUAUAAAAAUUUCAAAUCAGAUAAAAUUUUGAUACAAAAUUCUUUAUACUGUUGGAUCUUUGGCGCUAACCAUUAAUCCCAGAAACUCGAGCUGUUAGAAAUACGCAACCACACUUAAAGCGUACAGAUACAGCGCCCACGGGUCUCGAUUGUGACUCAGCCCAACCAGCCUCACGCCACUUCGAACAUGACUCGGCCCACCCAGUCUUACGCCAUUUCGAACAUGACUCGGCCCAAUAUGGCCUUCCGCCACAGGGCAGGAUGUUGGCCCAUUUAAGCCAACAUAUAUUAUCUACAACAAGAUCAAUAUAUCUGAUCGAAAAUUUUAGUGCUAUAUCACCACUUUUUAUUAAAUUUUUAUUUUCAGCCGUUGAUGUUAAAUCCUUUCGAUUGCUAGGUAAAUGAUAUCGAAAAACCGCAAAAAUUAUUUUCUAGAAAUUUCAAAUACACUAGAUCAAGUCUAACGGAGCUGAUCGUCGAUUCAGAAAUUCGAUCGUCGAAAACAGCUCAGGAGCAUA